CCUACGGGAUGCAGCAGUGAGGAAUAUUGGUCAAUGGGCGCGAGCCUGAACCAGCCAAGUAGCGUGAAGGAUGACUGCCCUACGGGUUGUAAACUUCUUUUAUAAAGGAAUAAAGUGAGGCACGUGUGCCGUUUUGUAUGGACUUUAUGAAUAAGGAUCGGCUAACUCCGUGCCAGCAGCCGCGGUAAUACGGAGGAUCCGAGCGUUAUCCGGAUUGAUUGGGGUUAAAGGGAGCGUAGAGGGGUUGUUAAGUCCGUUGUGAAAGUUUGCGGCUCAACCGUAAAAUUGCAAUUGAUACUGGCAGUCUUGCGUACCGUUGCGGUAGGCGGAAUUCGUUGUGUAGCGG
rnacentral:rRNA from 1 species